AUAGUUAAACCAUAUAUUUUAUCAUUAUUUUAUUUUAUGGUUUAUUUUCAAGAGAAGGCAGAGACACCAACAAAAAGCUUUGAAGUUAAUGAAGGUGAAGAGGAGGCAGAUAACUAUAAAAAUCUUUGCAGCUAAAGACAGUGAAGAGAAGGCAGAGAAGCCAAUAAAAACCAUUAUAGAUUAAGAUAGUGAA
rnacentral:lncRNA from 1 species